rnacentral:rRNA from 1 species
CAGGCUUAACACAUGCAAGUCGAGGGGCAGCAUGGUCUUAGCUUGCUAAGGCCGAUGGCGACCGGCGCACGGGUGAGUAACACGUAUCCAACCUGCCGUCUACUCUUGGACAGCCUUCUGAAAGGAAGAUUAAUACAAGAUGGCAUCAUGAGUCCGCAUGUUCACAUGAUUAAAGGUAUUCCGGUAGACGAUGGGGAUGCGUUCCAUUAGAUAGUAGGCGGGGUAACGGCCCACCUAGUCUUCGAUGGAUAGGGGUUCUGAGAGGAAGGUCCCCCACAUUGGAACUGAGACACGGUCCAAACUCCUACGGGAGGCAGCAGUGAGGAAUAUUGGUCAAUGGGCGCAGGCCUGAACCAGCCAAGUAGCGUGAAGGAUGACUGCCCUAUGGGUUGUAAACUUCUUUUAUAAAGGAAUAAAGUCGGGUAUGGAUACCCGUUUGCAUGUACUUUAUGAAUAAGGAUCGGCUAACUCCGUGCCAGCAGCCGCGGUAAUACGGAGGAUCCGAGCGUUAUCCGGAUUUAUUGGGUUUAAAGGGAGCGUAGAUGGAUGUUUAAGUCAGUUGUGAAAGUUUGCAGCUCAACCGUAAAAUUGCAGUUGAUACUGGAUAUCUUGAGUGCAGUUGAGGCAGGCGGAAUUCGUGGUGUAGCGGUGAAAUGCUUAGAUAUCACGAAGAACUCCGAUUGCGAAGGCAGCCUGCUAAGCUGCAACUGACAUUGAGGCUCGAAAGUGUGGGUAUCAAACAGGAUUAGAUACCCUGGUAGUCCACACGGUAAACGAUGAAUACUCGCUGUUUGCGAUAUACAGCAAGCGGCCAAGCGAAAGCGUUAAGUAUUCCACCUGGGGAGUACGCCGGCAACGGUGAAACUCAAAGGAAUUGACGGGGGCCCGCACAAGCGGAGGAACAUGUGGUUUAAUUCGAUGAUACGCGAGGAACCUUACCCGGGCUUAAAUUGCAGAUGAAUUACGGUGAAAGCCGUAAGCCGCAAGGCAUCUGUGAAGGUGCUGCAUGGUUGUCGUCAGCUCGUGCCGUGAGGUGUCGGCUUAAGUGCCAUAACGAGCGCAACCCUUGUUGUCAGUUACUAACAGGUUCCGCUGGGGACUCUGACAAGACUGCCAUCGUAAGAUGUGAGGAAGGUGGGGAUGACGUCAAAUCAGCACGGCCCUUACGUCCGGGGCUACACACGUGUUACAAUGGGGGGUACAGAGGGCCGCUACCACGCGAGUGGAUGCCAAUCCCCAAAACCUCUCUCAGUUCGGACUGGAGUCUGCAACCCGACUCCACGAAGCUGGAUUCGCUAGUAAUCGCGCAUCAGCCACGGCGCGGUGAAUACGUUCCCGGGCCUUGUACACACCGCCCGUCAAGCCAUGGGAGCCGGGGGUACCUGAAGUGCGUAACCGCGAGGAGCGCCCUAGGGUAAAACUGGUGACUGGGGCUAA